rnacentral:rRNA from 1 species
UACGUAGGGUGCAAGCGUUGUCCGGAAUUAUUGGGCGUAAAGAGCUCGUAGGCGGUGUGUCACGUCGGCCGUGAAAACCUGCAGCUUAACUGUGGGCGUGCGGUCGAUACGGGCAUCACUGGAGUUCGGCAGGGGAGAAUGGAAUUCCUGGUGUAGCGGUGGAAUGCGCAGAUAUCAGGAGGAACACCGAUGGCGAAGGCAGUUCUCUGGGCCGUAACUGACGCUGAGGAGCGAAAGCGUGGGGAGCGAACAGG